rnacentral:rRNA from 1 species
UGCGUAGGCGGAUAGAUAAGUCAGAGGUGAAAGCCUCCCGCUCAACGGGAGAACUGCCUUUGAUACUGUUUAUCUUGAAUGAGGUUGAGGUUAGCGGAAUGUGACAUGUAGCGGUGAAAUGCAUAGAUAUGUCAUAGAACACCAAUUGCGUAGGCAGCUAGCUAGGCCUUUAUUGACGCUGAGGCACGAAAGCGUGGGGAGCGAACAGGAUUAGAUACCCUGGUAGUCC